AGAAUCCCUCUGUCGGAGCAUCCAUGCCUACGUCACUGCAUGCCAAGCAGCUGACGCCAAAGUUGGAACCUGGAGAACAGACACCUUCUGUCCCCUUACCUGUCCAGCCAACAGCCACUAUGAGACAUGCGCUACAACCUGCGAUUCCACCUGUGCCAGCUUGUCCACUGUGCCCCAGUGCACAAAGAAAUGUUUUGAAGGCUGCCAGUGUAAUGAGGGCUAUGCGUUUGAUGGGGACACAUGUGUGCCUUUGGACAAAUGUGGCUGUGUGCACAAGGGACUCUACUUCAAGGCAGGAGAGAGCCUCUUCUCGAGAAACUGUACAGAGAAAUGUACCUGCGCUGCCUCCAGCCAAUUCACCUGUGAGGAAACCAGCUGCCCU